GUUCUCUUUGGUAGCACCUAUACUAAAAUUGGAACAAUACUGAAAAUAUUCACAUGGUCCCUGGGCAAUGAUGACAUGCAAAUUCAUGAAAAAAAUUAUAUAUAU
ensembl:snRNA U6 U6 spliceosomal RNA